GCGCGGGUGGCGUAACGGUAGCCGCACAGCCUUGAGGUGGCUGCGACCGCAAGGUCAUGGAGGUUCAACUCCUCUCCCGCGCACCA
rnacentral:tRNA from 1 species